GCAGAUCAGCCGGCAGGUGGGCCUCAGAGAAACGUGAACUUGGAAGGACAGUCUUGGAAUGGAAAUAGCCUCCCAGCCAGUCUCCCUGUCUUCCGCUGUCACUCCACCUUUCUGCUGUCCUAGGGCUCAGCAGCUCACUUGCGCCCAACUCUUUUGUGAUUCCACAGACUGCAGUCCUCCAGGCUCCUCUGCCCAUGGAAUUUUCCAGGGACCACACCUUGAGGCAUGCAGGAUCCCAGUUCCUUGACCAAGGAUUGAACCUGUGCCCCCUGCAAUGGAAGCACCGAGCCUCAACCACUGAACCGCCAAGAAAGUCCCUAGUGAUUCACAAUUUUCAAAGAUUAUAUACAAUUUUAAAGAUUGAUGGAGAGCUUAGAAACCCAAUACCACAUGUAGCAUUGCUUCUGUGGGAAAUGUGUUCUUUAUCCUGAAACACUGAUCUUCCACUGAGCCUCCAGCCACUUCUAAAGUGCAUCUUUGAGCAAACAAGAAGUAUGUCUGCCUGUAGG
ensembl:lncRNA